UUUUCACAGCUGCCAGGCGGAUUGUGUGCAUCUGGGGGUGGGACUGACAAUGAGCAACAAAUGUCUUCCUGUUUAAAACACGGUCUUCCGGCGUCAUUUGUUUGUAACGUGUUGCCGGCGUCGGAAGGCUGGAAUUGCUAGCGGUACAUCGGUCGUUGAGCGUGAAUCGCUUCAGACAAACUCUGGGUGGCAGCCAGUAGCGUUAGCAUUCAUCGCCAGCUGUGCAAGAGUAUGCCGAAAGCCUGUCCCCCCUCCUACCUCGGCUCACCUCUUGUGAUGACCGGUCAUUGACUUUUUAAGGCCUUCGAAUUGUGGGCAAGGGGUUCUGACCACUGUUUUCUCCGUGUUUUGUUUGAGUUCUAGUAUCGUAGCCAGUCAUGUUUUUCUUUUAGUUUGGGGUUGUUGAUAUCGUGUCUGUGUGUGGGUGUGUGCGCGUGCGUCUUCGUAC